UUGCUCAUUAAUAGUUUUGAUCCUCAAAUUUUACCCUUUGUUUCGUUACAUUAAAUUGCUUAGAUUGUUAGUUCCGUCUAAAAUAUUUUUUCUAUGAGUGUAAAAGAUGUGCAUCAAUUCUAUUUUGUUUUUUCUUCUUUUUUUUUUGUUUUUUUUAAAAUACGCACGCAAAUAUUUCCUAAAAAAUGAGCCCUCAGCAUGGUAAAAACAUUGGGUUUUCCUAUGCAUAAAUGUUUAGUUUAAAGGCACGAACUUUCGUUUCAUGCUCUCUUCGUGUAAGAGAAAUUAAAAAAGACGUUGUAUGAGCUUUCGGAUUUUAUUUUUGAAUUUUGGAUGGUUCAAUAAAUUAAAAUGUUUGAAGUGGAUGGGGUGAAAUAAAUUAAGAGGGAUGUGGAUGAAUGGGUAGUGAUGAAGUGCACUCUUAGUAGCUGGAGCCAUGAGAGUAGCUGGGAGCAGCGUAGCUGGAUCCAUGAGAGGAGUAGCUGGACCCAUGAGAGGAGUAGCUGGGAGCGGAGUGUCCGUAGCUGGGAGCGGAGUGUCCGUAGCUGGGAGCGGAGUGUCCGUAGCUGGGAGCGGAGUAGCCGUUUGUUGUUGUUGGGGGUAGAGGUUGACGUUCUGGUAGGAGGUAGCGGGUUCGUAGGACUUGCUUUCGUAGCCGUGUCCGGAGGAUUUGUAGCCGGAUGAUUCGUGGCCGUAUUGCGGGGCGGCGAAAGCGACGGCAAUGAGGGCGAAGAAAAGAGCGAGGAUUGGCUGAAACAACAGAAAAGUUACGGUCAUUACGGAAAUUUCUGAAUUCGUAGUCGUAUUUGUAUUUCAGUGAGAAUGCAUGCAUUACUCUGCCGUGCCAAGGAAAUGAGAAGUUGACAAAUUUCCUUGAAUAAAACAUGUAUUUUUGAGGAAAGUUUAGCAAAGUUUUCCUUGAAUUUUUCAGAAAUUUGCUAGAUUAAAUCGCGAACAAAUCGUCUGAAAAUUUUAUUAACAAAUAUUCACAAUUUUCCCCUUGAAUUUGACUUUUAUUGAAGGAAAUAUGGCAACAUGUGAAGGCUCAAGGGGACGCCCAGUGAGGGUGUAGCGACAGGGGAUUUUAAAUGAGAUGAGGGAGUGUCAACUCCCUGAUCGAUUGUGGGAAGACCGAGUUUUGUGGCGAUUAGGCGUCGCAGAGCGCCAGAGAGCGCAAUAAAAGCGACUCGUGUAUGUAUGAAGGCUCAUACGGCGUUUUUCCUUAGCACGGCAGUACUGGUAUGUCUUGCUAGAAUGACCCUGUUGAAGACGUCAGCUGGAGCAAGAUGAAGAGAUAUUUAUCAUAGAAAAAGGCUCAAAAUAACGACGAAGGCUUCGGAAAAGUCUGAAAUACGCUCCUAACUACACAUUCGUCUUUAGGAAUAUGUGUUUUUUUAAGCCUUACGCUUCAAAACAUUACUACGACAGAGGUGAACAUUUGUAAGACAUUGCGAUGACGGGAGGUUUAAGGAGGCUUUCAACGCAACGGCGUAUAAAGCAUUGGCGUGGCGUGCUUUGCGAUGAAUCGAUUAGUCUGCCAUUAAAACCUGUGGAAAAGGAUCGAUACGGGGGGGUUCGCAAUGAACACCAUAAUAAUCGAUUCUUUGCCAUAGCUUCAAAUGGGAAAAUAUCGAUAGUCAAUUAUUACGCUUCGCCACUGAAUAAAAACAUGUUUUACGAAAUUCAGGUAACACUGAUCUGUUUGACUGAAGAAAUAUAGUCCAUUUUGAGAGCGAUUUUAAUGAUAUGCCAAAAAGAAAAAAAAAUUAAAAAACAAAUAAAUGAUUUUAUGAUUUUGAGAAACGGUUGGUAGAGAUUAGGGCCUCCUUUGAUUUCGAUUGAAACUGUUGUUUGGCAAUCAUAAAACUGAAAAUAGUUUGCCCCUAUGUAAGUAUACUUCUAAAAAAAGAUGCGUUUUUCGAGAAAACUAUAAUAAAUAUAUAUGUGAUAUCGUAUAAUAAAAAAAUCCCUCAAACAAAGACAUAUUCCGACAUAGUAGAUAAUUAUUAGUUGACAUGAGAACACGACAAGACAUUACUCUGAGCUAUUUUAAUUUUAGACCAAAGGUAAGGCCAAAAAAGGCCCUUAACAUCCUUCGUCCAUCAAAAGUUUUAAUUUCUAACAGCUUGUGAAUAAUAUUCAUUUCAUUUAGAUACUCAAGUUGGAAUUCUCAUGAGGAGGACCAAGAUUCAUUUUUAAAGUCUUAGACUUUGAAUUUAUUGCUGUUAUUUUCAGUUUCAUUCGUGAAAAAAUUUAGAGAUCAGUAGCAAGUACAUGAGAUUGAUUAAAUUUGUCUUGAAAGAAGGAGCGCAAACCCUACGGCAAAAUUCCAUGUGAGGAGAUCAUACAUUAUAUUAAUUGAACAAUUUAUUUUAAUUAUUAUUUAAAUGGUGUAAAAGCUUCUUAGUUCAUAACUUCUCCGUCUUUACCACCAGGAAAAGGGGAAAAUGAUUCGACUUGGAGUAUCCUCAAAAUGGAGACUGAGUUACAAUUGACUCGAGUUUGGGUCCCAUUAUCAACUCAGUAUUCAUACUGUUGAUAGUUCUGAUCAAAAUUUUGAGUGGUUAUCAGAAUAAUUCGUAUCCAUGAACUUGAGAGGUUAAAAUUUAUCGUGAACUAGUGCGAUACACAUCCAAAAAUUUUAUCGUAAUUUUCUUGAUCGAACUGGAAGUAUUGCAAAUUUUUAGACGCCCGGUAGGAAGCAGAAACAAUUUAAUAGUAAUGCGUACUUACUUGGAAGUUCAUGUUGAUGUUUUGGGAUUUGUUGAUUUUGAAAAGAUGUAAAGAGUUUUAGAGCUACGACACAACUGUAACUGAAUACUUGAUGCAGCCCAGUUAUAUACUGCGGUAAGCGAUAAAAAAUUAAGGCGAACAAUUGUAUAAGAAAAAAAAAUAAAAAAAAAUAAAAAAUAACCUCGAAAAUCAAAUGAACCGAGAUCGCCACUCAUUAAGAGCGGUGUUUCGAGGUGGUGAGCUUUUUUAUGAUGUUCAAUUUUUUUUCUAUUUUCUAUUCAUUGCAACAAUAUUUUGUCAUAACGGGAGUUGAUCAUAGUGUUUCUGAGCUUAGUUGCUCAUUAGAAAUGGGUGAUCUAUCACAUAAUGACUGAUAUCAUUUAGUGC
rnacentral:lncRNA from 1 species